rnacentral:rRNA from 1 species
GACGAACGCUGGCGGCGUGCCUAAUACAUGCAAGUCGAGCGAGCUUGCCUAGAUGAAUUUGGUGCUUGCACCAAAUGAAACUAGAUACAAGCGAGCGGCGGACGGGUGAGUAACACGUGGGUAACCUGCCCAAGAGACUGGGAUAACACCUGGAAACAGAUGCUAAUACCGGAUAACAACACUAGACGCAUGUCUAGAGUUUAAAAGAUGGUUCUGCUAUCACUCUUGGAUGGACCUGCGGUGCAUUAGCUAGUUGGUAAGGUGACGGCUUACCAAGGCAAUGAUGCAUAGCCGAGUUGAGAGACUGAUCGGCCACAUUGGGACUGAGACACGGCCCAAACUCCUACGGGAGGCAGCAGUAGGGAAUCUUCCACAAUGGACGCAAGUCUGAUGGAGCAACGCCGCGUGAGUGAAGAAGGGUUUCGGCUCGUAAAGCUCUGUUGGUAGUGAAGAAAGAUGGAGGUAGUAACUGGCCUUUAUUUGACGGUAAUUACUUAGAAAGUCACGGCUAACUACGUGCCGGCAGCCGCGGUAAUACGUAGGUGGCAAGCGUUGUCCGGAUUUAUUGGGCGUAAAGCGAGUGCAGGCGGUUCAAUAAGUCUGAUGUGAAAGCCUUCGGCUCAACCGGAGAAUUGCAUCAGAAACUGUUGAACUUGAGUGCAGAAGAGGAGAGUGGAACUCCAUGUGUAGCGGUGGAAUGCGUAGAUAUAUGGAAGAACACCAGUGGCGAAAGCGGUUCUCUGGUCUGCAACUGACGUUGAGGCUCGAAAGCAUGGGUAGCGAACAAGAUCAGAUUCCCCUGGUAGUCCAAGGGCGAAUUCCACAGUGGAUAUUAGGCUUAUUGCUCCCGUGACCUCUUUGUGUGGUCUCGGUAACGUU